rnacentral:rRNA from 1 species
UACGUAGGGUGCAAGCGUUGUCCGGAAUUAUUGGGCGUAAAGAGCUCGUAGGCGGUCUGUCGCGUCGGGUGUGAAAAUCCAGGGCUUAACCCUGGACCUGCAUUCGAUACGGGCAGACUAGAGUUCGGUAGGGGAGACUGGAAUUCCUGGUGUAGCGGUGAAAUGCGCAGAUAUCAGGAGGAACAGCCAGUGGCGAAGGCGGCUUCCUGGCCGUGCU